GGCAGUUUUGCAAAAAACCCCUCCACUUUCUCCCAACCAAACCCGCGCUCCUUCGUCGUCCUCCUCCGACAGAAGCCGCAGCUACGCUGCUCCACGCCGCCGCAGCUGCGCUGCUCCCUGCCGCUGCAGCUGCCCUGCUCUCCGCCAACGCAGCUCCCUGCUACCCCGCCGCAGCUGCCUCCUGCUUCCCCGCCGCAGCUGCCGCUUGCCUGCCUCCCCAAGCUCCCCCCUUCCUCAAAAAAACUUCGAUUUCCCCAGCUACCAGCGCGCUCUGCUCCAGCUGCGUCGGAACCGGCGUCGGCGAGCCCGGAGGCACUGGAUCCGGACCACCACCAACAACCUAAAGGCCGACGAGGCCGACGAGCCCGAUGACGACAGGAGAUGCAGCAAGCUAAACGCCGACGAGCCCGACGACGCCGGCAAGCUAAAGGCCGUCGAUUUGCGAGCAUGGAAGACGACGACGACAGCUCCACAAGGAAUACGAUCGCGGCGGCGUCUUCUUCGCUGUUUCUCUGGUGGAAGACCCGUGCCUGCGACACCACGGCUGGGCUGUCCAGUGGGUCGCGCCUGCUCACUUGGCAGCAGCAGUGGCGACUGAACCUCUCUUCUACUGCAGCGGUUUUCUCCACUACUGCACAUCAUCUCCAAGUCCUAUAGCAGAUCAUCUCCAGUUCUACUGGUACUCCAAGAAGACUAUGCCUAGCUGGAAUUUGUGCUGUGGAAGGCUGAAGGUUGUUGGCAAUGAAAAGUUCAGUUAUCCUAUGAUGCAGUUUUGUCCCAUGGUUGUUAUUUGUUUCUCUUGGCCCCUGGUAAUUACUCUUGGCCCCUGGUACUCCAAGAAGACUAUGCAGUUAUCCUAGUUAUUUGUUUCUCUUGGCCUCAUAAGUAGAUGAUUCAAAAACAUCACUGAUUGGAUUGAAGAAUGGAUGCUGUAAUUAAAUUUGUCCCUUGGAUCUGGUGAUUUGGUUCUGCUCUGUUUAUUUUGUUUGUGUUGCCCUGAGAUUCAGUUAUAUUCUGGUGGCAAAGGAAAGUUCAGUUAUCUUCUGAUGCAA